ACUGGCGGGGUGCCUGGGGCAGGGCCAGCGGGAGGCCGCGAGGGUCCCGGCGGCGGAGGGUGGCGUCUUGUGGUUGCCGUGGAAAGGUUCGUGUGGUCCCAUAGACGUCCCGGCAGCGAGUUCCAGGGGCGGCGAGGAGAGGCCUCGGCCGCGUAAAUGUUUGGGCCAAAAGCUAAGGGCAUAAGGUGUGCAGCUUCUCACAGAUGCAACUGUAGUCAUCCGCAGGCCUGCAGAGUAGGCCUGUAGGAACCUUUCACUGAGGGAUCCAAGGGUAAGAGCAAAGCAGGCAGGGCUGGGACCUUCAUGAUGAGGGUACUUUCCCAUGGCACCUGAGCAAGGUAAGCAGGACGGCUGUUGUGACAGCAAACAGGGUCUGCCAGAUAGUUAGACAUGUUGUUAGUGAUGAGGCAAGUGCAAGAUUGUCAGACAGGAAAACUGAGUCAUGAUUAGGGUCUAGCUCAACAGGGAGCUUGACCAGGUGCAAGGUAUCUGCAGGAGUACACUGAGCAUGAAAGCCUCAGCUUAAAAGCUACUCCCAAGCAAAGUGGGGAGCCCCACUAGGGCCUUGCAGCACAGCUUACCCCAACAGCUUGUUUUAAGGACAAACGCUUGCACCCUGUGUCUAACCAGGCCCUAUGGUCUGACAGCCAAAAGCCCAGGCAGGGUGGUGGGAGGAUAUCUUCAGGGCCCUUAGAGUGUACACACACAUACACAUAUGCAGACUCACAAAAUGACCACAUUUACCUUUUUGUGUGAUGAUGCAGGAUUUUUGUCAAGAAUGAAAUGUUCCAAAACUGUGUAAUGGACAUUACUGACCAGUGAAAAUCACUGAGUGAUUUCGCAUACUGAGAAUAAUGCCCAUGCCUUGCCAAUUCCUCCUUUUCUUGCAUGUUACAGACCACUCCUGUCUCCCAAACCCUUAUUGCUGUGAGUCAACCAUCUCAGCCACUGUUGUCACACUGAGUAACACUAACCUCUGCCAGCACAGUCAUGUCUCAGACUUUGAUCUGGCUUGAUCUUUGUCUGUUCUUAAUACUUUCUCAGAAAGAUACAGUAGAAAUUCCACAGAUGUUUACACAGAAUAGAGUGAAUUGCCAUGUCUUGCCUUGUUUUUUUAACCAGAGAAAAUGGAUACUACUAACCUUGCUUGACUGAGUUGUCAACAGGGUUAUCAACCUAUCCUGUGGCAGACCUAGCAGAGAAUACAUGGGAUGUAUCUGUGACUGCAAUAGCAGAAAGAUAUCUUGGGAAAAUAAAUAUGCCUCUCUUCUCCUAAACAGUAUCAUUUUAAGAAAUGAUUAUUUGCUUUUAGUGUAUUAAUUUUUCUCAAGUGGGACAAGCAUUUUGUUUUUAAAUUCAUUGAUGAGGAAGUGUAAAAUGAUCCCUCAAAACAUGUCACAGGUUUUGCUUAGAGUUUAUAAGUCAGUGUACCUUUCCAGUGCUCUGUCAAACUAGCUAGACUUUACAGUCUUCUUGGAAAGUGAACACUUGUAGAUGCCAGUUAACCAGUAAGUAGUAUGUUAUUGCUUUAGAAAUGACAUUAUGGCUUUUCAGGUGGUGAAAACCCACCUAACUUCCUCAUCCAAGAAUUCUCCAUGUCUAGGGUUAUGCUCCCAGUGUCUGGUGUUACUAUUUGGUACUAUUUGUCACUAGUUGGUAUAUCUUUACUUAUUGUAAUAUUACCUCUGAAGAGGUGACAGGGUGACCACGUAAAAACAAGCACUAAUCAAUAUCCAUUGAGAAUUGUAUAGGUAUAGGUCUAAUAUGCUGUUGACCAAAAUAUUCAUAAACUUAGCAGGUACCUAAGUUUUUCAGGAAAAGUUAAAUUUAUAAUCAAGUAACCAUGGGUAGAUUCUACUGAGGUUUUCUGAAAGUGCCUGAGCAUCUUUGGCAGAAGAGUCCAAAGGAAAUUAAGUGACAUUUGUAUACUCAAAACACCACAUCCCAAGCUAUUCACUAUCUCUCCCAAGUUACUCUUAAUACAUAUUGUCCAGCAAGAGCAAAAUGAAUAGUACUGCCAUUGUGAUGAUGAGAUGGCCCUUCUGGGCAAGCUCAUAAGGGAUCCUCCACUCAGAAAAAUAGGUCAAGAGGAUAUUCGGUAGUAAUAUCCACAGAAAGUGACAGAUUUGCCCCAUACACAGAUUUUUAGAUCUCGUCUUUUACAUUUCUCUCCUUAUAAUGUUUCACUUACUUUCUGUAACUUUGCAUAUUUAUGACAAAGCCGGGGCUUUGUCCUUCACAGUCACAUAUGGUGAGGAAUAUGGAUCUCUUGAUACCAUCCCAGAUGUAAGAAGAUGGAUGACAUCCCAGCUGUUAAGGACAUCAUCUUUGAGCCUCACAGCAUGUGCUAAAGGCUAGAUUAACUGUGGCAAAAUGGAGCCUCAUCAGGCUUUGAACGGAUAGUGUGUAACUGGAAGCUUUCUAAGUACCAAAACUCAAGCAACACAGAGAGCUGACUGGGUAAGAAGAGAGGAAAAAAUCCUCCAGAAAUAGGAGCAGGACAUCAGAAAGCAAGUACAAAGCAGCGUGGGCAUAGACAAUGUUUGCACUGGAAGAAAAGCAUUUUAAGAUCUCCCUGCAUAGUUAUGCUGAACAUCCUGGUUACUGAUACAGGUCCUCAUCUGCAGCAGUGGUGUGUAGGCUGCUGCCAGAGGUUGGUCCAGUGUGGCAUGAUGGUCUGUGUGUUCUCCUUGCCAUGACUGCUGGACCUCAGCACCCUCCACACUCUCAGAAUGUGAUCAUCUUUCUUGUCAGAUAUUCUGGUACGCUUCUGUACUUGUGGCAGCAAAUAUUACAGCUCUUUGGUGGGUUCAUGGUGCUAACUGUUGUAUAAAGAUAUUUUAAUGCCUCACUCUGCCUAUGUAGAAUCACUACAUUGGAAAAGACGUUUGAGAUUAUCAAGUCCAACUGUACCUGUACACCACUAAAUCAUAUCCCUAAGCACUUCAUCUACCUGUCUUAAAUACCUCCAGGGAUGGUGUGUCAACCAUCUGCUUGGGCUGCCUGUUCCAGUGUCUGAUAACCCUUUCAGUGAAGAAAUUUUUCCUGAUGUCUAAUCUGAACCUCCCUGGCAUAGCUUGAGGCCAUUCCUUCUUGUCAUAUCACUUAUCACUUGGGAGAAGAGACCAAUACCCACCUUUCUACAACCUCCUUUCAGGUAGUUGUAGACAGUGAUAAGGGCUUCCCUCAGCCUUCUCUUCUCCAGGCUAAAAACCUCAGUUCCCUCCACCACUCCUCGUAAAACUUGUGCUCCAUCCCCUUCACCAGCUUCGUUGCUCUUCUCUGGGCAUGCUCCAGGACCUCAAUGUCUUUCUUGUAGUGAGAGGCCCCAAACUGAACACAGUAUUCGAGAUGUGGCCUCACCAAUGCCAAUUACAGGGGCAGAAUCACUUCCCUGGUCCUGCUGGCGGCUCUGUUUCUGAUAAAGGGCAAGAUGCUAUUGGCCUUCUUGGCCACCUGGGCACACUGCUGACUCAUAUUCACCUGGCUGUCAACCAACACCCCCAGGUCCUUCCCUGCCAGACAGCUUUCCAGCCUCUCGUCCCCAAGCCUGUAGUGCUGGAUGAGGUUGUUAUGUCCCAAACUAGCUAGCAGAUUGUCCGGUAGUGUGCUUGAAAUACAAUGGUACAAUAGAUGGAUCCAAACUAUAAUGCUCAAAGCUGUAGCUGUGAAACUAUGAUCUUGGUAAAUGCUCAUAAAUGUUUAAAUUAGAAGCCCAAAUUUUCCGUUCAUCUGCCAUGGAAUGUGUGACAUCAUCAAGAUUUUUUUUUCAUUUUUCCCCUCGUCAGAAACUGACACCUACACCAACAAAUUCAGUGGCUAAUUUUUACCACUAAGGCUGUACUAGAAGGGAAAAUUGUUGAAAGGUUGGAGAAUUACUAUGUUCAAAGUUUAGUUUGGGGAUUAUUUUACUCUAUAGUCUUCGGUUUGGCUGUUUGUAUUUAUAUUUCUCCCUGCGUGAGGACGCCUCUUCUGGAACAAACAAUUUGUUGUGUUGGUCUUUCUUCCUUACUUAAUUGGCAAAAUGUAUUGCCUUUAUAUUUUUAUAAUUUAAUACCUCCUGAGCACAUCGAUGUAUCUAAAUAAACAGAGAGUCUGGAAAAAUUGUUUUUCAUUUGGUGCAGUAGUAGUAGUCGUGAGGUUUGUGAUAUUAUUCACCUAAACAUAAGCAGGUGAAGGACUGACUCUGUGGGUAAAUAGGUAAGAAAUCACCAUGAUAUUCAGUUUCUGGAGAAACUGAAGUAUUUACUCAUGUUUAAUGGCCUUGUGUUUAUCCAACCAUCCUAAUGAGUAAGAAAAAUUGUUACAGGAAGCAAAAUUCUUGACUAACCUAUUUACUGACAUUAACUUUUCCCCCUAUCAAGAUGGGCAGCAGAAAGUAAACCAAGCAGUGCACAAGUACUUUUGUGCUGUUUGGCUGACUCUUUGAAGUGACGUAAGUGGACUUUGUCCAAUUCAGUGUAAUUCUGCUCAGUUUUAUGCUUGUAGACCACAAAUUUGCCCCAUGUAUAUCUAAAACACUCACAUAAACAGCUGAGGACGGAUAAGGAAAGGUAACUGAUCAUCAGUGUGUUUCACGAACAUAUUUUCUAGGACCAAAAGAAAUACAAUACUGUAAGCAGGUCAGCUUCCUUCCAUAUCUGCUAGGCUGCUUUUCAAAAUACUGUCAGCCUGAAAAUGAUUGUUGCAAAGCCCCGUGUUCUGCCUAUUGAAGCUUUACACCCUCAUUGUUUGAGAGCCUAAGUCAAAUUUGCAUUAAUUUAUUGCAUUUAAGAAACACACAGAUGACCCGCUGGAUGACUAGACUACCACCACACAUACACAUAUUCCUGCAGUUUAAUCAAGGAACAGAAAGUUCAGGAGAAUAAUGGUUAAGGUAAGAAAGUCGUAAGUAUUUGGAAUUAUUAACAACAUAAGUUGUUAAGAAGUCUCAUGUGUUCUAUAUGGCAAUAUAUGGAAGAAAUAUAACUGAUCUGUGAAGGGACUAAAAUUGCAUCUCUUCUUCAAAGGAUAUACUUUUCUGAAUGUUUUAAAAUGAACAGGGGAGUAAAGCAAUACUGUGAAGUGUCAAAGAAUACAAGGAGAGACCAAAACCCAUGAAAAGAAUAGAACAGUGUUUCUCAGUAUGUCUUAAUGCUUGUAGCAAAAUAUUAAUGACUCUGCUAGUGACCAAUUUUGCAUGGCUUUUCUAGGAAGCUAAUAUGAUUUGAAUCAUGAACCUGAUGCAAGCAGGUUUUGGUUUCAGAACAAAUACAUAAAAUUAAUUUGUAGAAAGCAUAUAUGUGGUAAAAAUUACAUGCUCUAGAUUAAUGCCCUUUUAAAAAGGCCAUGAUAGUAUAUCCCUAAUAAAUGUUCUUGGUUUUAUGAAUCCUGUGUUUGAUUCAGGAUUUCAAAGUGAUCUUUACUUUGAAAAUUUGGUGUGGUACUACACUGUCUCACAUUACAUCCUUAGCAUGCAAGUAUCAGCUGCAUAUGUUAUUGUACAAGCACUUUUUGUCACAUAUUCAGAACAUGAAGGCAAAAAAUUACUUCCUUCAACAGGAAAUGGGUCUUACUACCCUCAUGCGGCUAGUGGUAAAGAAAAAAAAAAAAAAAAGGCCAAGGCCUUUGAAAGUUUGCACUUCAGCAUUUAAUCCAACAUAACUACUAGGAACAGGCACACAAAAACAUAGGUUGCACAUUUUUCUCAUUGUGAAACUUUCAUCUUGCCUUUAAAAGAGCUGUGACUCAUCAUACCCCAGUACUUGACUAGAUGACUCAGAGGUCUUUUACUGUCUGACUAUUUCUGGGCUUUUCUAAAUCUGAGGAGGUAUUUUAGUUCUUCUGUUUAGAGAAAAGAAGGAAAUUAUGCUUCCAUUUUUUCAUCCUGUGUUUUUUAUGAUUGGUCUAUUGUUAUUCCAUAAUUUUCUCAGAGGCAUAGGAUUACUUGCAUGGAGAUCAAUGUUCUUCAUAAAAAUCCAGCAUGAGAUGUGUUUACAUAGCUUUUGAUUACUAUAUUUGAGAAAUUAGCUAAAUGCAGAGUUACUCUGCCCUCAUACUUUUUCAGAGAGUACUUCUAUUGUAAGUUCAAGGCUUUUUUUUGUUUGUUCAUUUUUAUCUUUAUAAAAACUCCCACACAUUGCAUGCUUCGCACAGAUAUCUGCAGUUGUCACCUGUCUCAUGGGAUUUUAGCUGUACAUGAAUUCCAAAGACAGAAGUUUUGCACGGCUUCCUGUGAAAGUGUGCAAAAUGCAUGAAAAUCAAUACAAAUAUGAUUGGACUGUUUGGAGAUUAGCUAAUGUCACUCAUCAGGCUGGACAUUAGGAAAUUUUUUUUCCACACAAAGGGUCUCUGGGCACUGGAACAGGCUGCCCAGGGAGGUGGUUGAGUCACCAACCCUUCAGGUAUUUAAAAGACAGGUGGAUGAGAUGCUCAGGGGCAUGGUUUAGUGGUUGAUAGGAAUGGUUGGACUUGAUGAUCCUGGAGGUCUUUUCCAACCUAGUGAUUCUGUGAUUCUGUGAUCACUUGUUUUAUACAGGGGCUCCUGGCUCUAUCCAUCACUACUUUUUAGCAGCUAUAAUAAUAAUGCAACAUGGAUGAGCUUGUGCAAUCUCUAUUUUUUUUCCAUGGGUUGCAUAUUUUCAUAAUUCUCCUCUGAUAGCUGGUGAUUGAAAACUUUUUUAGCCCUGUGAGUUCGCUAUUGACCUUCCAACUUGAAGCUUCUAAGUGGAACUAUCACCAUCUAGUGUAACAAGGUGUCAGCAUUGCAUGUAGGACCAUUUACUCACCACAGAUGUCUUUGCCUGGAAUUUCAUCUGUAGUAUGCUGCCAGUUGUCCACACUCAUUACCCGAACUGGGCAUGUUAAGUAAUGCAUAUAGUAUAUGCAGGUGCAUGUGGUAUGCACGUGACAGUGUAUGUAGGACAGAUACCAGGUAUGUGACCUGACUUUACUGGGAAAACUUAGUCGUGUUCUCCAUUCCUGUCCCUUCCUCCCUCCCAGACAUUCUUGCUACAGUCAAGAGACAGUAAAGACAUUUGGGUUUGCCUUUAAAAACAUGUGGUGGGGACAAAUAGAGGGAGGGAGUCUUUCUCAAAUAGCCUGUCCUUUCAAGAGAAGGCCACAGACACAAAACCACUUUGCUACCUUGCCCAAAAUGGACUAUUGAACUCGACUAGAUAUAUGGUUUGAGGUUUAGAAACUUGUUUAUUUCUCUCUGUAAAUACUGGUGCUAGGACACUAUCACUAUACUCUGGUGUUUAGUCUCCAGCUUGCUGACAGACACAGUGGACAAGUGUUGCUCAAAUACAUCUUGUUCAGCACAAUUCCACCAAAUACCAACCAGACAUGGUGGAAGUGGUUCAACAUCUGCUCAAGUUGUUCACACAUGUCAAAAUAAAAUAAAAUAAAAUAAAAUAAAAUAAAAUAAAAUAAAAUAAAAUUAAAAAAACCAAAAAAACCAAAACCAAUCAACGUGCUUGGUUGGUAAAAUGACUUGAGAAAGCAUCAUUGCUGGUGCCCCAGCUAUCAGGAGCUCUCUCCUGUGGCACAGGUAUUUCACAUGGCCCCAGACACUAGUCUGCACUGGUUAAGAAAGGCACUGAUGGUUUCAUGUACACCGGGCUUUUAUGAUUUCUGCCAAGGAAGGAGAAAGCACAGUGUAUUGAAGAGAAUAAAGUGGUAAGCCUGAUAAUAAGAAGAAAGGCUUGUAAAACCAAGGUACAUGGCUUAGUGAAAAUCUUCCAUCAUCCAGGAAGUUACCCCAACUUAAUCUGCCAUCAAGACGGAGUUAGUCUUGCCUCAUGGUCGUUCACUAAGUCUGACUCCAGAUGCCUCUGUGAGCAGUGGCAAGAUAUUGUAUCUAGGCAGCUAGAACAUGGCCCAAAGGCUUUGCCAUCACUCUCUAGGGCUACCAUGCAACUCUAUCUUACACUUAAAUAAUAAAUUCUUUGACAUAAAGACACCUAAAAUUGAGUGAGAUGGAUUCCUCCACAAAUAAUUUGGUCCAAUGUCGGUUAUGGGCAAAUAGUGCCUGCCUGCUUCCAUGGAUUACCACAGCACUGUACAAUUAACCUAAUUUCUUCCAAUGUUAGUGAAGUGUUAGACUGUGGGAGUUAGCGUUGCACAUCUGAUCCUCUGACUAUAAUUCAUAUAGCAACUGGUACAGUGAAACAUUUAAUUUGAAAAGGAAGUGAUACAUAACAUUACAUUUAAAGCAAAUAUUUAACCUGAAUGAAGGAAGAAAGUUGUCAUUUUAGCUGAAUUAAAAUCACAGGGUUUCCCAAGAAAUAUCUAUGCUUUGAUGGAGUUUCCUUUGAAAUCCAACCCAGUUCACACUUCUCCUGGCUACAGUCAUCAUAUGGCAAUGAAGCCAUAGUUGAACUGUUCACACGACACACUCUGUGAAACACAUUGCCUUGCUACAGAAAGAUUUACACCCACACUGCAAGACUGCUACUUUAGCCUGCUGAGAUCCUCGCUCCAACAGCUGAUUGUCCAAAUAGCUUGUUCAAGCUCAUCCAUGGUCUUCUAGGCUACAAAUCGUAGCUACAAAUGCACUCACAGUCUAAAGAAUGUCCAGCAGUAAAAUUAAUUUCAGUAAAAUUACUAGUUGUACUUAACAGCACCUGCAUUCUAGUUGCAUUUAAAUAAACAUAAUCCUGUCUGACUUUUGGGGCAGGCUUUCACAUAAUUUGUAAUGAUAGAUUCUUAUCAAGAACAGAACCAAACUCGGUUGCAUAUCCUCCCUCUUCCCAAGAAAGGUCAUUACUGUGAAUUGUUGAGUCUCAGGCUCAAAUCCAGCAGAGCACUUAAAUCAAUUUAAUGUGCAUUCUGUGACAGUACUCAUAUGGUUAAAAAUGGAUUUUGAUGGCUGCUUGAAAGGACACCAAGUCCUUAACAUGCUGUGCAAUAAUAUAAAAUACUUCAAACAUCUUGCAUUUAAGCUUCUCGGGUCUUCUAUCUCAGUGACAGUGCUCAAUGCUCAAUAACUACACUCAGCAGUAUUUUUUAUAUAUUAAAGUCUGCUUUUAGGUUUUGCAGUCUAGAUCAUUCCACAAUCACAGAGAAAGGGACCUAGUGUUCAGCUUCCAAGAACAAUACCUCCACUAACAGAAGUGACAAAUAAGACAGAAAGAGUCAAAGAAUGUGUAUUUUCGGUGCAUGUCUGGUAUUUGAAGUACCAUUCUCUGCUGGAUGCCACUACCAGUUAAUUUUCAGAAAUCAUUUUCACAAAAAUGCAUGUUUAAAGUAUGGGGAUAAGAAAUAACAUGGUGUGAUGUAUAGAAGAAGUUGUUGUAAGACAUGCAAACUCAGCACCAA